AUUGAACGCUGGCGGCAGGCCUAACACAUGCAAGUCGAACGAGUGGCGGACGGGUGAGUAAUGUCUGGGAAACUGCCCGAUGGAGGGGGAUAACUACUGGAAACGGUAGCUAAUACCGCAUACCAUCGGAUGUGCCCAGAUGGGAUGAGCUUGUAGGUGAGGUAACGGCUUACCUAGGCGACGAUGCCUAGCUGGUCUGAGAGGAUGACCAGCCACACUGGAACUGAGACACGGUCCAAGCUCCUACGGGAGGGAGCGGUGGGGAAUAUUGCAAACGGGGCGGUAGCCUGAGUCAGCCAUGCGGCGUGUAUGAAGAAGGCCUUCGGGUUGUAAAGUACUGUCAGCGGGGAGGCGUUACCCGCAGAAGAAGCACCGGCUAACUCCGGGCCAGCAGCCGCGGUAAUAC
rnacentral:rRNA from 1 species